rnacentral:ncRNA from 1 species
AAUUCUCAGGGCGGGGUGUAAGUCCCCACCGGUGGUGAUAGCCCACGAGCACUUGAUUUUAUUUAAAAUACAAGGUUAGCAGAUUUGGUGAAAUUCCAAGGCCGACAGUAAAAGUCUGGAUGAAAGAGCGU